GGCUGUUAGAGGCUGUAGGAAGAGAGCUCUAGGAUAUGAGGACAUGAGUUCUAAAGGACAAUCAGAACAGUAGAAAGGGUAAACAGAGAACAGAACUUCCAGACAAAGGAAAUAGUAUGCUCGAAGGCCCAGGGGUGGGAGCAAAGCUGAAGGUCUGGAAACACAUGUACUUGCAGAUAAUCUUUCAGUGUCUUGAUUGCUAGCAGAUCAUUCUCCUGCCUUCUUUCUAAGUCAGUGGCCUCUCUCUUCAAAUCAUCCCUGUUUGAAAAUAGCUGGAUCCUUGUAUCUGCUUUUGCAUUCCAUCUGCGGUUGUAUUAUAUGCCACGUAGUCUCUGGAAACCUACGAGAGAAGAGGAUGAAAGGCAAAUGACGUCUUAGUAUGACUGUGAAAAGAGUGUUGCCCUCAUAGACCCCAUUGAAGCUUCUCAGGGAUCCCAUGGAUUCCCGGACCACCCUUUGAGAAACUUCUGGGGUAAAAGAUAAAUUGGAUAAAUGUGCCCACGUUUCCAUCAUCUGGACGUAUUUUUUUAAUUAUUAAAACAUUUUAAAACAUGUUUAAUCAUUCAGAAUACUACACGGCAAACAUUGUAACAAAUAUCUACAGUUUGUCUUAUUUCUUUCACAUUAAAAAUAAUAGUUCCUUACUCAAAAACCACUCCAUUUUGUUUCUCCUCAAAGGCAAAACUGUGAGAACUUCUUUUCAAAUUUCAAAUUUUCUUAGAUUCCUACAGGAUCAUAGUUGGAAAUUAAAUAUUUUUAAGAAAUAUAUGGCAAAUUGGUGACACGAAUUAUGUAACACUUUUAAAAAUGGAUGUUAGCAAUCGUUAUAGCAUCUCUAUAGCACUGACAAACUGCAUAUGGAAAGAUAUUAAUUUGGUGCUUAGGCCAUGCACCAAGAACAGAUAUAUUGUGGCAAAGCCUACAUUGAUUCCAUCAUUCACUAGGGUUCAGUGUUCUCUCUGUUAGAAACCACUGAAGUAAAUGAUCCUUAAGAUACACAGUAG
rnacentral:lncRNA from 1 species